rnacentral:rRNA from 1 species
AGAGUUUGAUCAUGGCUCAGAUUGAACGCUGGCGGCAGGCCUAACACAUGCAAGUCGAGCGGUAGCACAGAGAGCUUGCUCUCGGGUGACGAGCGGCGGACGGGUGAGUAAUGUCUGGGAAACUGCCUGAUGGAGGGGGAUAACUACUGGAAACGGUAGCUAAUACCGCAUAACGUCGCAAGACCAAAGUGGGGGACCUUCGGGCCUCAUGCCAUCAGAUGUGCCCAGAUGGGAUUAGCUAGUAGGUGGGGUAACGGCUCACCUAGGCGACGAUCCCUAGCUGGUCUGAGAGGAUGACCAGCCACACUGGAACUGAGACACGGUCCAGACUCCUACGGGAGGCAGCAGUGGGGAAUAUUGCACAAUGGGCGCAAGCCUGAUGCAGCCAUGCCGCGUGUGUGAAGAAGGCCUUCGGGUUGUAAAGCACUUUCAGCGGGGAGGAAGGCGAUAAGGUUAAUAACCUUGGCGAUUGACGUUACCCGCAGAAGAAGCACCGGCUAACUCCGUGCCAGCAGCCGCGGUAAUACGGAGGGUGCAAGCGUUAAUCGGAAUUACUGGGCGUAAAGCGCACGCAGGCGGUCUGUCAAGUCGGAUGUGAAAUCCCCGGGCUCAACCUGGGAACUGCAUUCGAAACUGGCAGGCUAGAGUCUUGUAGAGGGGGGUAGAAUUCCAGGUGUAGCGGUGAAAUGCGUAGAGAUCUGGAGGAAUACCGGUGGCGAAGGCGGCCCCCUGGACAAAGACUGACGCUCAGGUGCGAAAGCGUGGGGAGCAAACAGGAUUAGAUACCCUGGUAGUCCACGCCGUAAACGAUGUCGAUUUGGAGGUUGUGCCCUUGAGGCGUGGCUUCCGGAGCUAACGCGUUAAAUCGACCGCCUGGGGAGUACGGCCGCAAGGUUAAAACUCAAAUGAAUUGACGGGGGCCCGCACAAGCGGUGGAGCAUGUGGUUUAAUUCGAUGCAACGCGAAGAACCUUACCUGGUCUUGACAUCCACAGAACUUUCCAGAGAUGGAUUGGUGCCUUCGGGAACUGUGAGACAGGUGCUGCAUGGCUGUCGUCAGCUCGUGUUGUGAAAUGUUGGGUUAAGUCCCGCAACGAGCGCAACCCUUAUCCUUUGUUGCCAGCGGUCCGGCCGGGAACUCAAAGGAGACUGCCAGUGAUAAACUGGAGGAAGGUGGGGAUGACGUCAAGUCAUCAUGGCCCUUACGACCAGGGCUACACACGUGCUACAAUGGCAUAUACAAAGAGAAGCGACCUCGCGAGAGCAAGCGGACCUCAUAAAGUAUGUCGUAGUCCGGAUUGGAGUCUGCAACUCGACUCCAUGAAGUCGGAAUCGCUAGUAAUCGUAGAUCAGAAUGCUACGGUGAAUACGUUCCCGGGCCUUGUACACACCGCCCGUCACACCAUGGGAGUGGGUUGCAAAAGAAGUAGGUAGCUUAACCUUCGGGAGGGCGCUUACCACUUUGUGAUUCAUGACUGGGGUGAAGUCGUAACAAGGUAACCGUAGGGGAACCUGCGGUUG